CAGGCGACGGUUGUCCUGGUUCAAGUGCGUAGGCUUGAGAGUUAGGUAAAUCCGGCUCUCUCUAAGGCUGAGACACGACGUCGAGCUACUACGGUAGUGAAGUCAUUGAUGCCAUGCUUCCAGGAAAAGCCUCUAAGCUUCAGAUAGUCAGGAAUCGUACCCCAAACCGACACAGGUGGUCGGGUAGAGAAUACCAAGGCGCUUGAGAGAACUCGGGUGAAGGAACUAGGCAAAAUGGUACCG
rnacentral:rRNA from 1 species